GGUAGUGCUUGAGGUGGUCACUGGACAUAUGGCAGUAGACUUCCGGCGACCUGAGGUGCUAGUGGUCGAUAGAGUUCAAGAGUUUGAGGCACAGGAAAGACCGCUGGAGGAGCUCGUUGAUAUCAGGUUGAACUGCGAGUACGAUCAUAAGGAGCUGACGAGACUUCUCAAUUUAGGAAUUGCAUGCACUAGGUCCAACCCAGAAUCAAGACCAAGCAUGAGGCAGAUUGUAAGCAUUCUCGAUGGCAAUGAUCAAUUCUUCGUGGCAGCAGAGCAAGAGAAGG
rnacentral:misc_RNA from 1 species